rnacentral:misc_RNA from 1 species
GAUGAAGAACGUAGCGAAAUGCGAUAAGUAAUGUGAAUUGCAGAAUUCAGUGAAUCAUCGAAUCUUUGAACGCACAUUGCGCCAGCCAGUAUUCUGGCGGGCAUGCCUGUCUGAGCGUCAUUUCAACCCUCAUGCCCCUAGGGCGUGGUGUUGGGGAUCGGCCAAAGCCCGCGAGGGACGGCCGGCCCCUAAAUCUAGUGGCGGACCCGUCGUGGCCUCCUCUGCGAAGUAGUGAUAUUCCGCAUCGGAGAGCGACGAGCCCCUGCCGUUAAACCCCCAACUUUCCAAGGUUGACCUCAGAUCAGGUAGGAAUACCCGCUGAACUUAAGCAUAUCAAUAAGCGGAGGA